GUGGAGACAAAGGCAGCUGCACUUGCAGGGGGUUAUCCUUUUCUUUUGUUUUUUUUUUGGCAACUGAAGUCCUAACCUGGUUAGUUCCUGACAUUUUUUUGAGAAGGUUUUUUUUCCCUCUCUCAACUUGGCCUAGGUUUUGUGUAGCCAAGUUUGCUGGUGGGUCUGUUGUACACAUGGCUGGCUCCCGCUGUCAUCAACAAGUCAUUUUUCCAGUGUACUUCAAGCCUAGAAGUGGUUCCUUGAGGCUGCUGACAGCUCAGUGAACGUAUGAGAGAGACACGCUACCUGGAAGACUUUCCAUAUGAAUGCAGAGGUCUGCUCUCAUGGAGUUCUUUAUGUACAAUGGAUGGAUUUCAUUGACAGAUUUCAUAGGUGGAGGUUUGAUCGAGGAAUGAGAUAGAAAUGAGCUUCAAGCAAGUUCAACCAAGCCUUGUGCAGAGCUGAGAAGAUGUGCUGUUCCCUCACCCCCACUCUAACUUUCAAAUCCUAUGUCAAUGACUUAACCCAAGAGCUGGACUUCCUCUCCUGUAAAACUAUUCUAAACUCAGGUUACUGCUUGGGACUGUUCCUUGAUUUAUUCAACUAAAAGAAUGCCUUGAAGAUGCUGGUCUAAGGGUAUAAGAAUGAAGUGAAAAUGGCUAACAGUAUGCGCUUCAAGAGUGAGAAAUCUCUCUGACACCAACUACUGCUGCACCCCAGCCAUCUCAAGAAGCUGGAAGAAACAGACUCUCUCUCUUAUGGCCUGUUUGGUGAGAAACCAU